CCCCCUUUUCCCCCAUUUCAGGGCCAUUUAUUUUCUCAACACAGGCACUGGGGAGGGAAAGGAGGACAAUUAAAGCACUGCAAAGAACCCCAUUAUUUCACGGCACUACAAGGGAAAAAUCGGUUAAAUUUUGCCCCUCUAGUUCCCCAAAUCUGACUCUGGCCCCUUACACAUGAUGGAGGUGAACAAGGCAAAGAUGGGAGCAGCUUCCAGCUGGGGCAGCUUGUGCCGGGAACUGAGCGCAGGAACACCCAGGGGCAGUUCAAGGGCAGGCAGCUUCACCCCGUGCCAUGGCCAGCCGCCAGCACUCCUUUCUCCUUGCCAGGAGGGCAGCAUGGCCACAUCAGCCACACAAAACCCCUGUGCUGACACUGGCCAGAGCUUCAUCUCUUGGUGUUGAAGGGACAAAACCCGCCCAGGAGGCAAUGGGUGAGCCACCACAGGCUGUGGUCAUGAAGACUUUUGGAGGACCAGAUGAGACCUGUGAGGUGAGAUCACCUUCCAAUGACCCAUUAGGCCUUCCCCCUCUCUCUCCCUGUGAAAAAAAAGGUGCAAAGUGAAAAUAUUGUCAUUUCUUCUUGGGAAAGCAAAGUUCUAGUACCUGCUCCUAGUUUUGGAGUUGAUCCCUGCUUUCCAGGGAAGCCAGUGAAGGGGCUUUUUUAGGGGGAUUAUUUGCUUUCCUCCUCCAAAUAAUGUAAGAUUUUGAAGGCAGGAUUACACAAACAAGCUGAUUGCUUCACUUGUGGGUUGUUUUGUUGCUUUAGUUGUUAUUGUUUUUGUUUGUUUGUUUUUGGUGGGGGUUUUUGUUCGGGGUUUUUUUGUUUGUUUGUUUGGGUUUUUUUUUGUGGUUUUUUUUUUUUUGCUUGUUUGUUUUUUUGUUUUUUGGUGUAUUCAGGAGAAAAUCCAGUCUCACCUGCAAUCCCUAAGGAAGGUGUUGGCAGAAUUUCUGGACUGGAGAGUGAAUGAAGAGAAGGGAAACCAGGACUACCUGGUACAGGGUAUCCCCUCUGUUCUUCAGCAGUCUGAAUGAGUCUUUAGGUAUUUAUUUUUCCCUAAGCCCCUCUUGAAGAAACACAGGGGAUCCUUUCCAAGAGGCAUCCUGGCGCCCCGCAGAGCCCUACAUCCAGCUGGAGUGGUUAGUGCAGAUCCUGGGCAGGUUUGGCAAGCACCACCUCCAUGUGCAGCUGCUUAUUAUCCACACUUUAAAUCAAUGUCAUGGCACUGCUCAUUUUCAUCCCAGACUAAGUCAUAAAGGGACAUUUGUUAACAUGGGAUUUACACUCCCCCCUGCUUCUCAGGGCCUGGAUCGGUUUUGGACAGAAUAUAGAGAGGAAUGGCAACGGGAGGGAAAAGGAGAACCGUGGGGUGAAGUACGUAAUUACCGUACAGUCCCUAAUCAGCUGCAUCCCUGGCCCUGCCCCAGUGUUGCAGCCACCCUGGCUUCAGCAGAAGCACUUUUGAAAAUUCAGGUCUGGGGGUUGCAGGUGGAUUUCUUGUCUCCUCCAGCAGAUAAGUGAAGCCGAGCGGCGCCGCAUUGAGGCUGAGUUUGAGCGGCUGCGCCGGCUGCUGGCGGAGCAGGAGCGCGCCGCUGGGGCGGCUGGCUGAGCUGGACAACACCUUUGCAACUACCCACGCUGAAAAAUCAUUGCGGGGGGCCGAGGGGGUUGCACAGCUCCACAGACUCAUCGGGCAGCUGAAGGCCAGGUGCUUGCCCCAGGAUGUUGGGAGCAUCCUAAGCAGAUAUGUGGCAACUGGUUGCUUCAUGUCCCUAUCACUCCAGCUGCGGAGGGGUGCUUGGCUGCUACAUCCACCACAUAACAUCUGUCCCUGGAAUUUCUUUUCCCAACUUGAGUGAAUGAGGCUCCACCUCCCCUCGGGGCUCCUCAAGGAGCUGGAGAAGAGCCUAAGCUCCUUCUGCCACCAAAGCGAUGCUCUGUGGGAGGCCCUGGAGAAGUUCAGAGACACAGAUCCCCCCGUGGGUCUCCCCACAGCAAAGACAACGCUGGAGACUGUCAUGACUCCUCUCCCACAGUUUUUGGCAGAGAGAAAAAGUGUGCGGUGGGAUGAGGAGGAGGAGCAGGAUGAGGCCAGAGAGCCCUGCUGAGGCCGGGAGCUGCUAGUAGCUUUCAGAGGGUCAUUGCCAGGAGAUGCAGGACGUGGACACAGUAGAUGGACUCUGCAAGAUGCCACCUGGGCAACCUCACCCUAGGUGCCCAUCCUCCUAGGGAGACAAAUGGUUUUAUGAAAAGCUCCCCUCCCAGCUGCUGUAAUUAGUAACCAAUUUUGUGUUGCUGCUCACCAUGUAGGUCAUGAAUUAAAGAAAAAAAAAAAACAAAAAAAAAAA